UACGUAGGGUGCUAGCGUUGUCCGGAUUUAUUGGGCGUAAAGGGCUCGUAGGCGGCGUGUCGCGUCGGGAGUGAAAGCCCGCUGCUUAACGGCGGGUUGGCGUUCCGGCUGACGGGCAGUCGCGUGGAGUGCGGCAGGGGAGACUGGAAUUCCUGGUGUAGCGGUGGAAUGCGCAGAUAUCAGGAGGAACACCGGUGGCGAAGGCGGGUCUCUGGGCCUUACCUGACGCUGAGGAGCGAAAGCGUGGGGAGCGAACAGG
rnacentral:rRNA from 1 species